rnacentral:tRNA from 1 species
GAGAGGUGGCUGAGUGGUUUAAAGCGGCGGUCUUGAAAACCGUUGAGGGUUUAUAGCCCUCCGGGGGUUCGAAUCCCUCCCUCUCC